ensembl:lncRNA
AUGUCUCCUCCUCUGAGGAACCUCAAGUGCUUUUCUCCGGUGAUGUGCCAGUGUAAACUUAUAUGUAGCAACCGUACGCUGUCGCUCAUGUUCGGCUGUAAGAAAUAUCGGUAUCAGGAUGAAGAGACUCCGCCCCUGGAGCACAGCCCCGCCCACCUGGCUCACAGCAAGAGCGCUGAGAUGCUUCACAUGAGUGAUAAGAACCUGGCUGCCAUGGACACCCUGCACAGUUACGGCCCACACACACACAUCUCACCAAUAAAGGUACGGACACACACACACACACACACAUACAGGAUUGUGAUGGUAUGUUUCUGGUAUGGUAUGGACUGUAUGUUUCCCAGAGGAAACUCUGGGCUAGGCUUCAGUAUUGCCGGAGGGACUGAUAAUCCUCAUGUCGGAGACGACCCCAGCAUCUUCAUCACUAAGAUCAUUCCUGGAGGAGCCGCCGCACAAGACGGGAGACUCAGAGUAAACGACAGCAUUCUCUUCGUGAAUGACGUCGAUGUUCGGGAGGUGACACACAGUCAGGCGGUGGAGGCGCUCAAGGAGGCGGGUGCUAUCGUCAGACUCUAUGUAUUACGCAGGAAACCCGUUGCUGAGAAAGUCACCGAAAUCAAGCUCAUCAAAGGGCCAAAAGGGCUAGGCUUCAGUAUAGCGGGUGGUGUGGGGAACCAGCACAUCCCUGGAGACAACAGCAUUUAUGUCACAAAGAUCAUCGAGGGAGGAGCGGCUCAUAAGGACGGGCGACUACAGAUCGGUGAUAAGAUACUGGCGGUGAAUAAUGUGUGUUUGGAGGACGUGAUGCAUGAGGACGCGGUGGGCACGCUGAAGAACACAGCAGAGGUGGUCUACCUCAGAGUGGCCAAGCCAACCAACCUGUACCUUACCAGCACCUACAACCCACCAGACCUCACGAGCACGUACUCUCCGCAUAUGGACACGGACCUCGGACAUCCGAACUUCCUGGCCUCGGAUUACCCACAAGCCCUCACUCCCACCUCACCAAGCCGCUUUUCUCCAGUGCUGCAUGGCUUGAUGGGAGAGGAUGACUUACCCAGGGACCCGAGGCGUGUUGUGAUCCACAGAGGAUCGACGGGUUUGGGCUUUAAUAUAGUUGGAGGGGAGGAUGGCGAGGGAAUAUUCAUCUCUUUCAUCCUGGCAGGAGGCCCUGCGGACCUGAGCGGAGAACUGCGCAAAGGAGAUCAGAUCUUGAGCGUGAGAACAUGCAGACACAUAUACAUAUACUCACAUAUGAAGAUUGUGUUUGUUUGUGCAGAGUACAGUCGAUUUGAAGCUAAAAUUCAUGAUCUCCGAGAGCAGCUGAUGAACAGCAGUAUGGGCUCUGGAACAACUACAUUACGAAGUAACACUAAACGAGGAUUUUAUAUCAGGGCUCUGUUUGACUAUGAUAAGACGGCAGACUGUGGUUUCCUGAGUCAGGCCGUGGGCUUUAGGUUUGGAGAUGUGCUGCAUGUUUUGGACUGUGGAGAUGAGGAGUGGUGGCAGGCCUGCAGAGUCAGCCCACAGGGGGACGAGGAGGAGGUCGGCUUCAUCCCCAGCAAGAGGAGGGUUGAGAGAAAAGAGUGGACGCGGUUGAAGUCCAAAGAAAGGUCUCUCUCGUGUGUCGCACCCUGUUUAGUGCACUACGCGAGGCCCAUCAUUAUUCUGGGCCCGGUGAAGGACAGAGUGAAUGAUGACCUGCUGUCUGAGUUCCCAGACAAGUUUGGCUCUUGUGUCCCUCAUACGACACGACCCAAGCGGGAGUAUGAGGUGGAUGGGCGGGACUAUCAUUUUGUGUCGUCACGGGAACAGAUGGAGAAAGACAUCCAGAACCAUCGUUUCAUCGAGGCGGGCCAGUACAACAGCCACCUGUACGGAACCAGCGUUCAGAGCGUCCGAGAGGUGGCCGAACAGGGAAAGCAUUGUAUUCUGGAUGUGUCCGCAAAUGCAGUUCGUAGGCUACAAGCUGCACAGCUUCACCCGAUUGCCAUCUUCGUGCGGCCCAAAUCACUGGAGAACGUCCUAGAGAUCAACACACGUCUAACUGAGGAACAAGCCAGGAAAGGUAUGGACCGCGCUAUUAAACUGGAGCAAGAUUUCCUGGAGUGCUUCUCUGCAAUCGUGGAGGGCGACAGCUUCGAGGAGGUUUAUCACAAGGUGAAAACUGUGAUCGAGGAGCAGUCAGGGCCUUAUAUCUGGAUUCCCACCAGGGAGCGUCUGUGA